rnacentral:pre_miRNA from 1 species
UAUGUACUCCCUCCGUCCGGAAUUACUUGUCAUCAAAAUGGAUGAAAAUGGAUGUAUCUAGAACUAAAAUACAUCUAGGUACAUCCAUUUCUAUGACAAAUAUUUCCGGACGGAGGAAUAUCUA